AAGUGUUUUAAAAUGUUUAGUGAAGUAUUUGAAGUGCUGUGCAAGUGAAAAGUGUAUAAAUAGUGUAGUGAAAAAGUAUUUUAAAGUGGUUGAAAGAAGUUGCGUGCGAAAUCUAAUUGGAAUGGAAAUUUUUUGCGCAGUCGGUACGGGUUCGUUCGUGUGUGUUGUGUGCGUGCAUGCAAAGCCGGGCAACAGGCAAAUAAGUAGUAAAGUAAAUGUGCUACUGCAUAAAUUUAGUAAUAUUAUUAUUUUUGGAAAAUAUACUUAAUAGAAGUCAAAGGAAAUGUGAAAAUAAAAUGUAAAUGUGACAUGCAAAUCCAAAAUAUCAAUGAAUGUACAAACAUCGUUUCGUAUACUAUGUACUUAUGUAUAGUAUGUGCAUACAUACAUAUGUAUGUAUGUGAAUACGCGUCGGGUUCGGUUCGUUUUGCUUUAUGCGUAUAUCGGUAUAAUCUCUAGUAAUGCGUGGAAGAUUGUAGAAUCGUGUAAGUAAUUAAAAAAAAUCUAAUAAAAUUUAAUGAUUGGUAAAAGUGUGAAGUGCGGUAAUCAUUAUAUGCGUUCGUACAUUGUUGUAAACGUUAAGUUCCAUGAACACUUUACAAUGAAUAGACCACAAUAUUGUCCUCAAAGGCGGAUAUUCCAUAUUUCCACAAGCAUACUUACAUAUAUUAAGCAAAGAAUGCGAGCAGUAAAAGAAGAUUUCUUUGGUAGUUUCAUUUAAGUGAGUUGCUGCAGAGUCAAGACGGAUCGAGGUAUUAGAUAUUUCAAUUUGCCCUCAAGUUAAUCAAUCCUCUCAAAUACGCAUGGGACUGUUAGUGCUCGCUCCAACAUUACAUAAAACCCAAAUCGAGUAUUUUGACGUUAUACAGUGUCAUCGAGAAAAAAGAGUAUUUUGAGUCCAGGAUGAAUGGCCGAUCAAAACAAAUACCAAACAGCGGUGAAACAGGUGCUGCAAAACAAACACAAUUUGAAAAGAAACACAGCAAAAAGAAGAAGCACGCAUGCAAAAUAUUCGCAACGCAUUUCUACUGCUUAUGCACUCUUCUUUCUCUGCCGCUGAACUAUAUACGUAUGUAUGUACAUAAUUGCAGAAACAUAUUGGUUUGUUGUUGGAAACUGUAGCAAACAUCAAGCAGUGGAGUGAGAGACUGCCUGUUGUUGCGGUAAUACACUAAUUAAGAGAUCAAAAGUAUUGAUGAGUGGCUGUGAGAGACAGCGUGAGUAUGUUGGAAUGUGUUACCGUUUGGCUUCAUACUCAUUGCAAGAACUGGAAUUUGGUGAACAGUUGCUUCUGCUGCUAAAGUGUAAAAAUUGCGAUUUGGACAAUAAAUUGUUAAUAAUUAAUUAAUAAAAUAUGUUUAAAAGUGUCUUAAAAUGUUUAGUGAAGUGUUUAAAGUGCAGUGCAAGUGAAAAGUGUAUAAAUAGUGUAGUGAAAAAGUAUUUUAAAGUGGUUGAAAGAAGUUGCGUGCGAAAUCUAAUUGGAAUGGAAAUUUUUUGCGCAGACGGUACGGGUUCGUUCGUGUGUGUUGUGUGCGUGCAUGCAAAGCCGGGCAACAGGCUAAUAAGUAGUAAAAUAAAUGUGCUACUGCAUAAAUUUAUUAAUAUUAUAAAUUUUGAAAAAUAUAGAAGUCAAAAAAGAGUGAAAAUAAAAUGUGCCCUGCAAAUCGAAAAUUAAUAAAAAUCUGUCGUGAAGAGCCACGUGCAUAGUAAUGAACGGGUAUCGUUUUGUAUACCAUGUAUGGUAUGUGAGUACGCGUCGGGUUCGGUUCGUGCGUAUAUCGGUAUAAUCUCCGGUAGUGCGUGGAAGUUUCUAGAAGCGUGUAAGUAAUUAAAAAAAGCAAAAUAUAGUAAAAAUUAAUUAGUGGUAAAAGUGUGAAGUGCGGUAAUUGUUGUAUGCGUUCGUCCAUUGAUAUAAACGAUAAGUUGCUUAACGACUAUGCAAUGAAUGGAGAUCCAAUAUUGCAAACAAAGGCCUCUUAAUUUUCAUAUGCAGCACUAUGCAAGAAACAGGUGGUAAGCU
rnacentral:lncRNA from 1 species